CGAAGGGGGCUAGCGUUGUUCGGAAUCACUGGGCGUAAAGCGCACGUAGGCGGAUCUUUAAGUCAGGGGUGAAAUCCCGAGGCUCAACCUCGGAACUGCCUUUGAUACUGGGGAUCUCGAGUCCGGGAGAGGUGAGUGGAACUGCGAGUGUAGAGGUGAAAUUCGUAGAUAUUCGCAAGAGCACCAGUGGCGAAGGCGGCUCACUGGCCCGGAACUGACGCUGAGGUGCGAAAGCGUGGGAAGCAAACAGG
rnacentral:rRNA from 1 species